rnacentral:lncRNA from 1 species
UACUCAUUUCAUUUUAAUAUUUCCGGGGACGUUACAGUUGGUAUCAGAGCCGCAUUUCCUCGGACCCAUCCCUUACACUAUAGUCCUUUAAAGAAAUACUCACCGAUUGGUCGUUACUCAACCAUUCCUUGUAAAUGCAGGUACACAGAAAUGAGGAGAGGAAGGCCCCCACUAAACCGAGCGACCCAAGAUAAUUCGCUUCGGGAGGAUUUGGACAGAUUAUAUGAGAUGGUGGAAGCUCUCGUAGCUGC